GAUGAACGCUGGCGGCGUGCCUAACACAUGCAAGUCGAACGAGGUAUUUUGAUUGAAGUUUUCGGAUGGAUUUCAAGAUGCCGAGUGGCGGACGGGUGAGUAACGCGUGGGUAACCUGCCUCAUACAGGGGGAUAACGGUUAGAAAUGACUGCUAAUACCGCAUAAGCGCACAGUACCGCAUGGCACGGUGUGAAAAACUCCGGUGGUAUGAGAUGGACCCGCGUCUGAUUAGCUAGUUGGUGAGGUAACGGCUCACCAAGGCGACGAUCAGUAGCCGACCUGAGAGGGUGAACGGCCACAUUGGGACUGAGACACGGCCCAA
rnacentral:rRNA from 1 species